GACGAACGCUGGCGGCGUGCUUAACACAUGCAAGUCGAACGCUGAAGCUCAGCUUUUGUUGGGUGGAUGAGUGGCGAACGGGUGAGUAACACGUGAGUAACCUGCCCCCUUCUUUGGGAUAACGCCCGGAAACGGGUGCUAAUACUGGAUAUUCACUGGCCUUCGCAUGGGGGUUGGUGGAAAGGGUUUUUCUGGUGGGGGAUGGGCUCGCGGCCUAUCAGCUUGUUGGUGGGGUGAUGGCCUACCAAGGCUUUGACGGGUAGCCGGCCUGAGAGGGUGACCGGUCACAUUGGGACUGAGAUACGGCCCAGACUACUACGGGAGGCGGCAGGGGGGAAUAUUGCACAAUGGGCGCAAGCCUGAUGCAGCGACGCCGCGUGAGGGAUGGAGGCCUUCGGGUUGUGAACCUCUUUCGCUCAUGGUCAAGCCGCAACAAUGGUUGUGGUGAGGGUAGUGGGUAAAGAAGCGCCGGCUAACUACGUG
rnacentral:rRNA from 1 species